GGGAGCUGGCUGAGCGCGGCUCAGCUCGGCUCGUGUGCGGCUCCCGCGGGGCCCUUCGGCCCUGGCCGGCCUCUUUGCGCAGGGCGCGAUGGCGUGCGGGCUGGGGUCGUGGCUCCUGGCCUUGUCCUUGGCCGCGGGGCCGGCAGCAGUGACUGGCCAGAUGGUCUUGGAGCAACACACCAGGGAUCUGGCUGUGCGAGAGGGAGAUGGAGUCACCUUCCAGUGCAGCAUGAGUGGAGACAGUAUGAGCAGCUAUGAGAUGUUCUGGUACCGGCAGGGAGCACGUGGCACUCUGGACUGGAUUUAUGAGCCAGGUGGUGCCUAUGGAGAAGGUUUCCAGGAUCGCUUUAAGGGAUCAGUGGCAAGUUCCCAGAACAGAUUCACACUGCAGAUCCAGGCAGCAAAGCAAGGGGAUGAAGCAGUGUAUUACUGCGUUGCCAAGCUCACCCUGGAGCAGCUUUGCAACAGGUUGGACCUAAAACUGGCUGCUGGAGAAUGCAGACUUCUCAGCAUUUCUUUAUAAAAGCUGCAAACCACAUAUUGGUGUCACACAAUGACAGGUGCAGGAAACAGUUCUUUUGCGGGUUUGCAGUAAAAGGCUGUGAAGAAGUGUUGUUGUUGGACUAGACACCAUUUAAGAUGUGGAGGAUCUAUUGUGGGAACUUGAGAGGCUGUAUCAUGUAUUGCAGGCUAGCGCGCUUUGCCUGGGCUCCUGUCCAUUACGACUCAGAUUUUCCUCCAUGGCUUGGUUGGAUCAUGGUGCUAUGGUAGGGUAGCUCACAGAAGUAUUGUAGUGGAUAGAGACAGACUGUUUAGGAGAGACAGGCUGGGAAAGUGAGGAGGAUGAGUUGCCCUUCCUAGGAAAGAGCAGCUGGAAUGCGUGGAGUACAACCUUGGGAGGUACAGUGAGCCAGCUGGUAGCCUAUGGGUAGGUUUAGAGGGCAGAUCAACAUUGUGGCAGGUGGUUACUACGCAGUGCCUGUCCAGGAUCAAGAACUAGGUAAUGCCUUCUUCAAAUAACUGGAAGGAGCCUCGUGUUCCCUGGCCCUGGUCUGCAUGGGGUAGGUGAACAGUGCCUAGUCUUGGCUGCUGGGAUAGUACAAGCAAUUAAGAAACCUUCUGCAGAGCAUGGAUGAAAACUUCAUCAGAAGAACUGGUGGUGGAUGUGAAGGUGUGGGGCAGCCAUGGCUGCAGUGAUGAUGCAGUGUUUGAGCUCAGGAUCCAGAGAACAGGGAGCAAUGCAAAAGGCAGGAUCAAAGCCCUGGACAUCAGGAGAGCAGAAUUCACACUCUUCCAGGAUUUUCCUAGAAGAAACCAAUGGAAUAUGAUCUUGGACAGAGGAGGGGUCCAGGAGAGCUGCUCGAUUUUAAGAGUUCACCUCCUUCAGGCUCAAGAAUGUUUUCUCUUGAGGAAGCAGAAUGUCAAGCAAAGCUGAUGUGGGAGGGUUCUUCUUUGAUUCAUUCUUUGCAGGCAAUACUGGCUUUUCAGGAUUUCCAGGUCUCUUGACCCCAUUCAGAGUGUCCCCAGCCAGGAAGAUGUAUGUCAGUGGAGGAGGAUUAUACCAAGGCAUAGUUAAAGAACCUGGAGGGACACAACUGUACGGGGACUCAUUAGAUGGCCCAUUAGUGCUGAGGGAGAUGGCUGAUGUGAUUGUGAGGUGACUGUCGGUAGUUGUUGAUAUUUCACGAAGAUUGGGAGAGGUUUCUAUGUACUGACAGAAAAGACAAUUCCAUUGUCAAGAGCGAGGAUCUGAGGACCUUGGAGUCCUGAAGGCUUGUCUUGCUACUAGAGGCUGAGGUGACUAAGGCAUAUUCAAUACCUUUGACCAGGUCCCACACCCCUUUCUACAAUGUCCUGCAUUUUCCUUACCCUUGUUGUCUGUUCAGGCCUCCUGGCAUUUUUACCUGACUCCUUCCUCAUUGGCUUGGGCUGUUCUUGAACUCAGCACUACUGAGACUGUGGACUACUGCAUCCACUGCUGUGCUCCCCAGCACAGGAAAGACAUGGACCAGAGCAAAUACCAUGGCAGGCCAUGAGGACAAGAAUAGGAGCAUCUGACAUACAAGGAGAGCCUGAGAGAACUGAGUUAGUUUAGCAUACCAAAAAGGUGCUGAUGGAGGAUUUAUUAGUGUGUGCAUAAAUGCCUGAUGUGUGAAGCAAAGAAGAUGGAGCCAUAGUUUUCACAGUGUUACCCAUUUAUAGAAUAUGGGACAACAAACACAAAAUGAAAUGCCAUAUAUAUGCCAGAUUUACUGAAGUCUAAGUACACAACAUCCACAGCCUUUCCCUCAUCUACUAGUUGGGUCACCUUGUCCUAGAAGGAGGUCAGGUUGGUCAAACUGGACCUGCCUUUCAUAAACCCGUGUUGACUGGGCCUGACCACAUUUCUCUUGUAUGUGCUGUGUGAUGUUACUCAAGAUCAUCUGCUCCAUGACCUGCCUCGGCACUGAGGUUAUUCUGACAGGUCUGUAGUUCCAUGGAUCAUCUUUCUGGCCCUUUUUGUAGAUGGGCAUUAUAUUAGCCAACUUCCAUCCAACUGGGACCUUCUCCAUUAGCCAAGAUUGCUUUUAGAGAAUGGAAAGUGAUUCGGUGAUUACCUCCGCCAGCUCCCUCACGCCCUUGGGUAUAUCCCAUCUGGCCCCAUACUCUUGUGGCUGUUCAAGCCGUGUAGCAGGUCACCAACCAUUUCCCCUUGGAUUACUGGGGCUUCAUUCUGCUCCCCAUCACUGUCUUCUGGCUCAGGGGCCUGGGUACCUAGAACACAACUGUUCUGACUGUUAAAGACUGAAGCAAAGGAGGCAUUUAAUACCUCAGCCUUUCCCUCAUCUUCUGUUACUAUGUUUCCCUACGCAUCCACCAGGGGAUGGAGAUUCUCCUUAGCCAUUCUCUUCUUGCUAAUAUAUUUAUAGAAACUUUUCUUGUUGUUUUUCACAGUGGUGGCCAGGCUCAGCUCUAGUUGGGCUUGGGCCCUUCUGAUUUUCUCUCUGCAUAACCUCACAGAAUUCUUGUACUCCUCUGGAGUGGCCUGCCUCUCCUUCCAAAGGUUGUAAAUUCUCUUUUUAUUCCUAAGUUACAGCCGCAACACUCAUUCAGCCAGGCUGGCCUUCUUCCCCACUGCUUCAUCUUCUGCACAAGGGGACAGCUGCUCCUGCACCUCUAAGAUCACCUUCUUCAAGAGAGACCAGCCUCCCUGGAUGCCUUUGUCCUUCAGGACUGCCUCCCAAGGAACUCUGCCAACCACCCUCCUAAACAGGACAAAGUCUGCCCUUUGGAAAUCCAAGGCAGCAGAUCUGCUGACCACCCUCCUGAUUUCUCCAGAGAUAGUAAACUGAAUCAUUUCAUUGUCACUGUGCCCAAGGGACUUCCAACCAAUGCAUUGCCCACAAACCCUUCUCUAUUUACAAAGAUCCAGUGGGGCUCUUUCCCUGGUGGGCUCACUAACCAGCUGUGUUAGGAAGCUCUCAUCCAUGCACUGCAGGAGUCUCCUAGACUGCUUCCUCUCUGCUGUGGUGCCCAGUAAUAGGAUGAGGGGCAACAGGCACAGAGUGAAGCCUAGCCGGUUCCAGCUGAAUAUGAGGAGAAACUUCUUUAUUUUGAGGGAGACAGAGCACUAGAACAGGCCACCCUGAGAGGUGGUGGAGUCUCUUUCUCUAGAGGUACUCAAAACCUGCCUGGAUGCAUUCCUGUGCAAUCUGCUCUAGGUGAACAUGCUUUAGCAGGUGGCUUGGACUAGAUGAUCCCCCUGAGGUCCCUUCCAAACCCAACCAUUCUGUGAUUCUGUGAACUGUUUUACCACGGUCUAUGGGGAAUCAGUGCUCUGGCACCUAGAGCAUUUCAAGUAGCUAUAAGGAAGAACUGUUUUACAGUGAGGACGAUGAAACACUGGAACACAUUUAUCCGGAGAGAUGGUAGAUACCCAAUACCUGCGCUCCUCCUCUGCCGACGGCCCUGCCCCGCGGCCUCUCCGCACCGCCCCUUGUCCUGCCCCCAAGGGGCCGCGGCAGCGGGGGCCGGGCCGGGUGUGGCGGAGGCGGGAGGAGGCGUCGGCGCUGGCCCGGAGGGGCCGAGGCGGCGGGGCGGGCAGGAGCUGGCUGAGCGCGGCUCCGCUCGGCUCGUGUGCGGCUCCCGCGGGGCCCUUCGGACCCGGCCGGCCCCUUUGCGCAGGGCGCGAUGGCGCUCGGGCUGGGGCCGUGGUUCCUGGCCUUGUCCUUGGCCGCGGGGCCGGCAGGGGUGUGUGCGCAGCUGAGGCUGGUGGAGGCCGGCGGAGGGCUGCGAGCGCCCGGGGACUCCGUGCUCCUCUCCUGCCGCGGAUACGGAUUCGCUUUCGGGACUUAUGGAGUUCGGUGGUACCGUCAGGCACCCGGUGGCAGACCCGAGUGGCUGUCCUAUAUCAGCUCGGAUUCCUCACUUAUUAAAUUCGGGCCAGCUGUGGAGGGUCGAGCCACAGCAUCCCGGCAGAAUUCCCGGUCUGAGGCAUCUCUCAGCCUGCGCCUCCUGCAUCAUGGGGACUCUGCCCGCUACUUCUGUGCUGUUCACACGUAAAGAGGAAAUCCAGCUGAGCUUGAACACAAACCUCCCACCAGGCUCCCAGCUCUUUGCCUCAGAACUUUAAGGGAGGUUCAUCUCAUAGGUGUUCAGGAUGGUCCCCAGAGAGUCAAGGAGUAACAGCAUACACCUUUCAAAUGUUUAAUUCUAACAGGCACAUCCUAGCCUUUUCCAUCCCCAAAUGAGCUCUAACCCUCCUGCAUAACAUCUUCUGAUGUGCCAUGAAGACCCUUUUUCCUCUCGCCCUCACAAACUGAUUCACCUUUUGAAACAAGUUCUGCUGUUUUUGUUAGUUUCUAGUAGGGCCAGUUCCCAGACAUGGCACCAUUGGUGAGAUGUGUGAACAGCCCUGCUGUGCUUUGGGCACAGCUCAGAUCAAGUCAGUCCAGCCCACGAGUUUUGCUGCCUGCGAUGUGAACAGAGGAAAUAUGGAAAGUACGGGGGGUCCUUUGGGAGCUCAACAGGUUCCCCACUCCCUUUAAUAAUGGGCCCGCAUUUUCCCUACCCUCAUUUCUCUGUGCAGACCUCCUGGCAUUUUUAACUGACACUUUGCUUGAUGGGAUGCACGGUGCUUGAACUCAGCACUGACGAGACUGUGGACUCCUGUGCCCACUCCUGGUCUCCCCAGCACGGGAAAGACAUGGACCAGAGCAAAUGCAAUGAGGGGCCAUGAAGAUGAGGAAAGGAGCAUCUGACAUACAAGGAGAGCCUGAGAGAACUGAGUUUGUUUAGCACAGAGUAGAAAAGGCUGUGGGGGGAUUUGUCAGUGUGUGUAAACUCCUGAUGCAUGCAGCAAAGAAGAUGAAGCCAGAGUGUUCUCAGUGUUAUCCAGUGACAGGACAUGUGGCAAGAAACACAAAAUUAAAAGCCAUUUAAAUGUAACCAAAUGGGUUUUUACUGUUGAGGUGCCUGAGAAACUGAAAGGGCAAUGUCUCAAACAUUGUGUCAAAACCAGUUCUGCAACAUCCAGCCACAGGAGAUGGGUCAUUCAGGAUAAGGUGAAUUAUGAUUUACAUGUCAACAACAAGCUAAGGAGCCAGAGACAAAGGCUGGCUGGCUGACACAUGUGGUGGGGGUGUGUUGAUGGACAGGUAGCUCUGUGUUCUGAUAGACCCAGCAUGGCACUGAGGGAGAAGACCUGAGACUGCUCAAGACCCUUCAAGGUGGCCUGAGACCCUUCAGGACUUUUUCAUCUUUCACGAUCACCCCCUAGUGAAACCUGCGCAAAAGACCAAAGAUUAUGCAAGCAGUUGAUCCAGAGGUCUAUAAAAAGCCCACCUGUACAAGUACUGGUGGUGUACCCACCACCCUGAGGACCACUCUGCCUACCAGUCUCACGCUGGGAACCAAACCAGACUCUGGAGGAUGCUGCAAACCGCUGGAUCCAAGACUACAAGCCCCAUGAUAUACAACAUGGAGCCAUAAGGGUGGUGAAAUCACUCUCUUUUUUAUUUCUUUCCGACAGCAGCUCACUUACUGCAUCAGCAGUGGGACAGGACACAGAAUCAGAAGAGUAAAAGUGCAAAAAUUUCAUAGAAUCAUAGGAUGUCCUGAGUUGGAAGGGACCCACAAGGAUCAUCAAGUCCAACUCCUGUCCCUGCGCAGGACAACCCCGCAGUUCACAGCAUGUGUCUCAGGGCAUUGUCUAGUUUCUUCUUGAACACUGUCAGGCUUGGGGCUGUGACAUCUUCCUGGGGAGUCUGUUCCAGUGCUCCACGAAUUUGUGUGUUGAGACAAAUUCCCAGCUUCCCCCUGGCAGGUGGUGUUUAGCCAUUUCCAGGAAAGCAGGCUUCAUCAUGUGCAAUUCUUAUUUCAGAUUAGCAUCUCCCUUCCUCCUUAUUUCCCUCAGCUUUUAUUACUUCACACAAUGCCAUGCAGUACAGAAUAUCCCUUUGGCUGGUUGUUGUCAACUGUAGAGCGGGUGAGCAACAUGAGAAACACAGGUGACAUUGACACUGUGUAAGCUCUGCUCAGGAACAGCUAAAACAUCAUUCCAUUUGCACCACAGAUUUUGUGAGAAAACACUGCAGUUUCCCAAACAGGCUACUAUGUAGAAAGUUAACUCCAUCCCAGGCAGACCCAGUGCGCCUACUAUAGCUGACCUGGCUUUGAGCAGGAGGUUUAAACUGGACUUUUCCAGAGGUCUGUUACAGCCAUUACACUUCUACUAUCUUUUGAGCAAUACUGGAUCCUCUUUCCUCCCAUUUCGUACACUCUUUUUGAAGAGAAUGAAAGGUCUAGGGAACCCCACAUGUCCUACCAUGCUGGGACAGCUCUAAGUGUCCCAGUCCACCUUAGGCCACCCUUGGCCUACAUCCCCCUGCAUCUUUUCCCAGCCUCAAGCCUCCAGUGUCAAUGGGCUCCUAUAUCCUCUUGUCCUGGUUUUGUUAAAAACAAGAGCAGUUUCUCUUUUAGAGAUUUUCCUUUCAGCUCAAGUCUUUCUGGUAACUGCACUUUUCUGAAGUUGGAUACGUGUUUUGGUAGACAUACCAAAGGAAUGCAAGGUUGCUGAUAAGGAUGCACAUCCCGUAAGUGAGAGGGGCAAGGAGGAGUGACCUGACCAACUAAGUAUUGCAUCCCAUUAACGUGGUACUUUAUAUAAAAGUGGGAAAUCAUGAGGACCUCGUCCCUUUUUCCCUUCUUCGACUAUGGCAGACAUCUGGGAAGGACCCUGCCUGCCAUCCCUGCAAAUCUGAGGACUAGUGACAGACCCUGCAUCCUUAAAUCCAGUUCCAGUUUUCUGCAGAGUCCAACCCAGUACUUCCGGGCAUGGGCUCCACUGCUGCUGGAGCAGUGCUGAGCUUUGCUGGGGAAUUGAAGACUGGUUUUGUAUAGUUUGUAUUAUUUUCUCUAUUUUGUUAGUAGCAUUAGUAAAAUAUUUUUAACUUUUUCCAA